GCCUCCAUGCUGAGAAAGCCAGCCGACUCAGAGUUUUUCAGCAUGUCAGGGAGCCUGCAGCGGCAAUCCAGUUCCUUCAAAGGGUCGGUGGAUUCUCUCAGCUUUUCUGGAGAAGAGAGAAUUUCGAAUGUUCCCAACACAAGGAUAUGGUAAAUAUUUGAGGUAGGAUUGAAGGCUGAAUGUUUGGGAAGUGUGCAUUUGGGAAGUCUCAGUGCUUGGGAAGGAUCAGACAUUUCUUAUGAAUGGGACAUACACCACAUGAACAAGAUGUGGAAGAACCACCUGAGGAGAAAUCAGGCUAUUAUCUGGGGCUUGCUGCAGAUAAUCAACAUUUAAAAAAUACAGAUAAACUCCAGACUAGUCUUCCAGGUGAAACUCCCGGGAGAGAACCUAAGGGAAAUAUUAUGUCUUUGAUUAUUGGGAAACUGGGAAUUAGAUAACUUUAGACUCUACUCUGGUUCCAGAAUCAUACCAAUUUGGUUUAAUACAGAGAUCAGAAACUGAGAGUGCCACUGUUUGCUACAGGAAUACCUUACCUUCAUUUUACAACCAAGAACUCAGCUACUACCAUUCCCAUCAAGAAAACUCCCAUGGUCUCUCUCUCUCUCCACAUGUCCUAGUUCCAAAUGCAAUUUUCGUAACAGUAUAUGGGAUAGGCAGAAUCUAAUUCAUAUCUGGAACCCAAGCUUCAUGAAUGUGUUUAAAUGUUCCUAAGUUUUCUAUUCUAUGCAGUAUAGAAGAUCGGCAUAGAUGCUGAACAAACCUGACUACUGGAUUGGGUGUCCUUUAUCAUUUUACAAUUUUAAACUAUGAGAUUAUAUUAGUUAUUUAAAAAAUUAAAUAAAAAUUCAAACAUCCUGACGAGUAUCUACUACUGGCUAUGAUAAAGUGCUCUACUGCUAAACCUACCCCUAUCACCAUCAACAAUUAUAAGACUGGACAAAAUCUCUGAAACAAGUGUUUCAAAGGCAGUGCAGGACUUUGAGCCUUGUGAGAAUAUAAUCCCAUAAGAUGAGUCCAACUUCUGCCUGGGUCACUUUUUUGGAUUAUGGCACAGGGAAGUGAAGUACAAACAGCAGUAACUUAUCAAGGAACUAAAAGUCUGCACUGAAUCUUCCAGACCUUUAGGAAAGAAAUCAUAUUAAAAUUAUACAGAGUCCCUCAGAAAAUAGAAAAAUAGAAAUUAGAAAAGAAGAACACAUUUUGAAAGAUCAACUUAACCCUAGUAUCUACCAAUAAUACAAGAGAACAUUGCAAGACAAGAAAAUUAUAAACCCAUUUUCUCAUUUAUAUAUGCAAAAACUCAUCGUAUAUUAGCAUAUUGAAUGGGUAAUACAUCCUGACCAAGAGGGUUUAAUCUAAUGAAUGCAAGAUUGGUUUAAUAUUCAAAAACUAGCGAAUAAAAUUUACCACAUUGAAAGACUGUAGGAGUAAAAUCAUGUGAUCAUCUCAAUAGAUUCACAAAAGAUAAUCACUUGACAAAAUUCAACACCAAUUCAUAAUAAAAACACAUACACACACACUGAAAAGUAGGAAUAGAAGGAAACUUAAUGAAAGACGUUUAUGAAAAUCCUAUGGCUAAUAUUAUACUUACUGAAGACCAAAUGAUUUCCCCUAAGUUCAGGAAAAAAGCAAGGAUGUGUGAUCUCAUCAUUUUGAUUCCAUAUUUUUUGAAGGUUCUAGCCAAUACAAAAAGCAAUAUAUAGAAGAGGCAUCAAGAUUGGAAAGAAGAAAGUAAAAUUGUCUCUAUUCACAAAAAAGUGAGC
rnacentral:lncRNA from 1 species